rnacentral:rRNA from 1 species
UACGUAGGGAGCAAGCGUUGUCCGGAAUCAUUGGGCGUAAAGCGCGCGUAGGCGGCCUCAUAAGUCCGUUGUGAAAGUCAAAGGCUCAACCUUUGAAAGCCGAUGGAUACUGUGAGGCUAGAGUCCGGAAGAGGCGAGUGGAAUUCCUGGUGUAGCGGUAGAAUGCGCAGAUAUCAGGAGGAACACCAAUAGCGAAGGCAGCUCGCUGGGACGGUACUGACGCUAAGGCGCGAAAGCGUGGGGAGCGAACAGG